rnacentral:rRNA from 1 species
AUACGGAGGGGGCUAGCGUUGUUCGGAAUUACUGGGCGUAAAGCGUACGUAGGCGGAUUGUUAAGUUAGAGGUGAAAUCCCGGGGCUCAACCCCGGAACUGCCUUUGAAACUGGCAAUCUAGAGUUAUGGAGAGGUAAGUGGAAUUCCUAGUGUAGAGGUGAAAUUCGUAGAUAUUAGGAGGAACACCAGAGGCGAAGGCGGCUUACUGGACAUAUACUGACGCUGAGGUACGAAAGUGUGGAGAGCGAACGGGAUUAGAUACCCCAGUAGUCC